GAUGAACGCUAGCUACAGGCUUAACACAUGCAAGCCGAGGGGUAGCAGGGUAGCAAUACCGCUGACGACCGGCGCACGGGUGAGUAACACGUAUCCAACCUUCCCAUAACUCUGGGAUAGCCUUUCGAAAGAAAGAUUAAUACCGGAUAGUACUUUUUCAAGGCAUCUUGAGAAAGUUAAAGAUUUAUUGGUUAUGGAUGGGGAUGCGUUCCAUUAGAUAGUUGGUGAGGUAACGGCUCACCAAGUCUUCGAUGGAUAGGGGUUCUGAGAGGAAGGUCCCCCACAUUGGUACUGAGACACGGACCAAACUCCUACGGGAGGCAGCAGUGAGGAAUAUUGGUCAAUGGGCGAGAGCCUGAACCAGCCAAGUAGCGUGAAGGAUGAAGGUCCUAUGGAUUGUAAACUUCUUUUAUAGUAGAAUAAGUGACCUACGUGUAGGUUUUUGUAUGUAUACUAUGAAUAAGGAUCGGCUAACUCCGUGCCAGCCGCCGCCGUAA
rnacentral:rRNA from 1 species